rnacentral:rRNA from 1 species
CUGAGAGGAUGACCAGCCACACUGGAACUGAGACACGGUCCAGACUCCUACGGGAGGCAGCAGUGGGGAAUAUUGCACAAUGGGCGCAAGCCUGAUGCAGCCAUGCCGCGUGUAUGAAGAAGGCCUUCGGGUUGUAAAGUACUUUCAGCGGGGAGGAAGGGAGUAAAGUUAAUACCUUUGCUCAUUGACGUUACCCGCAGAAGAAGCACCGGCUAACUCCGUGCCAGCAGCCGCGGUAAUACGGAGGGUGCAAGCGUUAAUCGGAAUUACUGGGCGUAAAGCGCACGCAGGCGGUUUGUUAAGUCAGAUGUGAAAUCCCCGGGCUCAACCUGGGAACUGCAUCUGAUACUGGCAAGCUUGAGUCUCGUAGAGGGGGGUAGAAUUCCAGGUGUAGCGGUGAAAUGCGUAGAGAUCUGGAGGAAUACCGGUGGCGAAGGCGGCCCCCUGGACGAAGACUGACGCUCAGGUGCGAAAGCG